rnacentral:rRNA from 1 species
GGACAACCUACCCUCAGAUCUGGGAUAACUCCGGGAAACUGGAGAUAAUACCGGAUAAUCCGUGAACGCUGGAAUGCCUUACGGUUUAAAGCUUUAGCGUCUGAGGAUGGGUCUGCGGCCGAUUAGGUAGUUGCUGGGGUAACGUCCCAACAAGCCGAUAAUCGGUACGGGUUGUGAGAGCAAGAGCCCGGAGAUGGAUUCUGAGACACGAAUCCAGGUCCUACGGGGCGCAGCAGGCGCGAAAACUUUACACUGCGCGAAAGCGCGAUAAGGGGACCUCGAGUGCGUGCGCAAUGCGUACGCUUUUCAUACGCCUAAAAAGCAUGUGGAAUAAGAGCCGGGCAAGACCGGUGCCAGCCGCCGCGGUAACACCGGCGGCUCGAGUGGUGGCCGCUAUUAUUGGGCUUAAAGGGUCCGUAGCCGGACCAGUUAGUCCCUUGGGAAAUCUUACGGCUUAACCGUAAGGCUGCCAAUGGAUACUGCUGGUCUUGGGACCGGGAGAGGCAAGAGGUACCUCAGGGGUAGGAGUGAAAUCCUGUAAUCCUUGAGGGACCGCCAGUGGCGAAGGCGUCUUGCUAGAACGGGUCCGACGGUGAGGGACGAAAGCUAGGGGCACGAACCGGAUUAGAUACCCGGGUAGUCCUAGCCGUAAACGAUGCGAGCUAGGUGUCACGUGGAUUGCGAAUCCAUGUGGUGCCGUAGGGAAACCGUGAAGCUCGCCGCCUGGGAAGUACGGCCGCAAGGCUGAAACU